AACUCAUUCUAUUACAGGAAUCAAACAAGAGCCAGGAGAGUUUUCCUUUAGUGAACUGUGUGUGUGUGCGGUGCUGGAACUCUACCUCCAUGCCCUUUGUAAACGUGAGGCAGUUCUGAAGAUCUGCAGCUUGACACUUCCAGUUUUCCUUUUACUCACUAACGGGACAACUUUUAGGAGAUUGGCCUUGCUGGGAUCCUCUAGCUUCAGUCCCCUGGGUCCUGGGAUUUUCA